CCUACGGGGGGCAGCAGUGGGGAAUUUUGCGCAAUGGGGGCAACCCUGACGCAGCAACGCCGCGUGAGUGAUGAAGGCCUUCGGGUCGUAAAGCUCUGUCAGAGGGGAAGAAAUGCAGGUGGUGAACAACCAUUCUGUUUGACGGUACCCUCAAAGGAAGCACCGGCUAACUCCGUGCCAGCAGCCGCGGUAAUACGGAGGGUGCGAGCGUUGUUCGGAAUUAUUGGGCGUAAAGCGCGUGUAGGCGGUUUGUUAAGUCUGUUGUGAAAGCCCCGGGCUCAACCUGGGAAGUGCUUUGGAUACUGGCAGACUUGAGUCCGGGAGAGGAGAUUGGAAUUCCCAGUGUAGGCGUGAAAUCCGUAGAUAUUGGGAGGACCCCCGGUGGCGAGGGCGGCUCUCU
rnacentral:rRNA from 1 species